AAUGAACGUUGGCGGCGUGGAUUAGGCAUGCAAGUCGAGCGCUCAUAGCAAUAUGGGAGCGGCGAACGGCGUAGGAAUUCAUAGGAACGUACCCUCAGGUCGGGGAUAGCUACGGGAAACUGUAGGUAAUACCCGAUUAUCUCCGUGGAGCAAAGGUGUGAUUCCGCCUGAGGAGCGGCUUAUGCGAUAUUAGCUAGUUGGUGGGGUAAUGGCCUACCAAGGCAAAGAUGUCUAGGGGGUGUGAGAGCACGGCCCCCACGACCGGAACUGAGACACUGUCCGGACACCUACGGGUGGCUGCAGUCGAGAAUCUUCCGCAAUGGACGAAAGUCUGACGGAACGACGCCGCGUGCGGGAUGAAGGCCCUUGGGUUGUAAACCGCUGUCAGAGGGGAUGAAAUCUUCGGAGGUACUCCUCCGAAGUUGACAGAGCCUCAAAGGAAGCACGGGCUAAGUACGUGCCAGCAGCCGCGGUAAAGUCUGUACU
rnacentral:rRNA from 1 species